rnacentral:rRNA from 1 species
GUGGGGAAUUUUGGACAAUGGGCGCAAGCCUGAUCCAGCCAUGCCGCGUGCAGGAUGAAGGCCUUCGGGUUGUAAACUGCUUUUGUACGGAACGAAACGGCUCUUUCUAAUAAAGAGGGCUAAUGACGGUACCGUAAGAAUAAGCACCGGCUAACUACGUGCCAGCAGCCGCGGUAAUACGUAGGGUGCGAGCGUUAAUCGGAAUUACUGGGCGUAAAGCGUGCGCAGGCGGUGAUGUAAGACAGAUGUGAAAUCCCCGGGCUCAACCUAGGAACUGCAUUUGUGACUGUAUAGCUAGAGUACGGUAGAGGGGGAUGGAAUUCCGCGUGUAGCAGUGAAAUGCGUAGAUAUGCGGAGGAACACCGAUGGCGAAGGCAAUCCCCUGGACCUGUACUGACGCUCAUGCACGAAAGCGUGGGGAGCAAACAGGAUUAGAAACCCGGGUAGUCC